rnacentral:tRNA from 1 species
GCGGGUGUAGUAUAGUGGUAGUACACGACCCUUCCAAGGUCAAGACGCGAGUUCGAUUCUCGUCACCCGCUCCU